rnacentral:rRNA from 1 species
UACGUGCGGGGCGAACGUUGUUCGGAAUUACUGGGCGUAAAGGGUUUGUAGGUGGUCUGCUAAGUCAGACGUGAAAUCCCUCAGCUUAACUGGGGAACUGCGUCUGAUACUGGCGGACUUGAGGACAGGAGAGGAACGCGGAAUUCCAGGUGUAGCGGUGAAAUGCGUAGAUAUCUGGAGGAACACCGGUGGCGAAGGCGGCGUUCUGGACUGUUUCUGACACUGAAAAACGAAAGCCAGGGGAGCAAACGGG